AUACGGAGGGUGCAAACGUUGUUCGGAAUCACUGGGCGUAAAGGACGCGUAGGCGGAUAAUCAAGUCAAAAGUGAAAUCCCACGGCUUAACCGUGGAACUGCUUUCGAAACUGGUUAUCUAGAAUAUGGAAGAGGCAGAUGGAAUUAGUGGUGUAGGGGUAAAAUCCGUAGAGAUCACUAGGAAUACCGAUUGCGAAGGCGAUCUGCUGGGACAUUAUUGACGCUGAGGCAUGAAAGCGUGGGGAGCAAACAGGAUUAGAAACCCCAGUAGUCC
rnacentral:rRNA from 1 species